rnacentral:rRNA from 1 species
CCCUUGGGUGCGGAAUAACUCAGAGAAAUCCGUGCUAAUACCGCAUAAUGACUUCCGUCCAAAGAUUUAUCGCCCAGGGGUGACCCCGCGUAAGAUUAGCUAGUUGGUGGGGUAAAAGCCUACCAGGGCGACCAUCUUUAGCUGGUCUGAGAGGAUGAUCACCCACGCUGGGACUGAGACACGGCCCAAACUCCUACGGGAGGCAGCAGUGGGGAAUAUUGGACAAUGGGAGAAAGCCUGAUCCAGCAAUGCCGCGUGAGUGAUGAAGGCCCUAGGGUUGUAAAGCUCUUUUACCCGGGAUGAUAAUGACUGUACCGGGAGAAUAACCUCCGGCUAACUCCGUGCCAGCAGCCGCGGUAAUACGGAGGGAGCUAGCGUUGUUCGAAAUUACUGGGCGUAAAGCGCGCGUAGGCGGUUUUUUAAUUCAGAGGUGAAAGCCCGGGGCUCAACCCCGGAAUUGCCUUUGACUCUGGAAAACUUGAAUCUUGCAGAAGGUGCAGGAGGAAGUUCCUGAGUGUAGAGGUGGAAAUUCGUAGAUAUGCGGAACAACACCACUGGAGAAGGCGACUGAUCUUGUCAUCAAGUAUAGACGACUGAGGUGCAAAAGCGUGGAGAACAAACAGGAUUAGAUACCCCGCUAGUACCACGCCAUAAACGAUGAUAACUAGCUGUCCGGGGGUUCAUGAAACUUGCGUGGCCCCAGCUAACGUCAAUCACCUUAUCCCGCCUGCGUGAGGACUGGUCGCAAGGAUUGAACACCUCAUAAGGAAGUUGACGGGGGCGUGCACAAGCGGUGGAGCAUGUGGGUUAAUUUGUAGCAACGCGCAGAACCUUCCCAGCCUUUGACAUCCUUAUUGCGGAUUAGAGAGAUAUUUUCCUUCACUUUGGGGGGAUCAGUGACAGGUGGUGCAUGGCUGUCGUCAGCUCGUGUCGUGAGAUGUUGGGUUAAGUCCCGCAACGAGCGCAACCCUCAUUCCUAGUUGCCAUCAUUCAGUUGGGCACUCUAAGGAAACUGCCGGUGAUAAACCGGAGGAAGGUGGGGAUGACGUCAAGUCCUCAUGGCCCUUACGCGCUGGGCUACACACGUGCUACAAUGGCAAGUACAAAGGGCAGCGACCUCGCGAGGGGUAGCUAAUCUCCAAAAGUUGUUUCAGUUUGGGUUGUUCUUUGCAACUCGAGAGCAUGAAGGCGGAAUCGCUUGUAAUCGCGGAUCAGCAUGCCGCGGUGAAUACGUUUCCCGGCCUUGUA